GACAGAGGUCCCGAGCGUUAGGCGGAAUCACUGGGCUUAAAGCGUGUGUAGGCGGAUCGUUAAGUACCUUGUGAAAUCCCACGGCUUAACCGUGGAACGGCUUGGUAUACUGGCGGUCUUGAGCCACUUAGGGGCUACCGGAACAAAUGGUGGAGCGGUGAAAUGCGUAGAGAUCGGGAGGUACAUCAGUGGCGAAGGCGGCCAUCUGGGACAACACUGACGCUGAGGCACGAAAGCGUGGGGAGCAAACAGG
rnacentral:rRNA from 1 species